rnacentral:rRNA from 1 species
GGGGAAUUUUGGACAAUGGGCGCAAGCCUGAUCCAGCAAUGCCGCGUGCAGGAUGAAGGCCUUCGGGUUGUAAACUGCUUUUGUACGGAACGAAAAGCCUCUCUCUAAUACAGGGGGGUGAUGACGGUACCGUAAGAAUAAGCACCGGCUAACUACGUGCCAGCAGCCGCGGUAAUACGGAGGAUCCGAGCGUUAUCCGGAUUUAUUGGGUUUAAAGGGUGCGUAGGCGGGAUAAUAAGUCAGUGGUGAAAGUUUGCAGCUUAACUGUAAAAUUGCCGUUGAAACUGUUAUUCUUGAGAGUAGAUAAGGUAGGCGGAAUGUGUUGUGUAGCGGUGAAAUGCAUAGAUAUAACACAGAACCCCGAUUGCGAAGGCAGCUUACCGGGCUACAUCUGACGCUGAUGCACGAAAGCGUGGGGAUCAAACA